UAUGUACUCCCUCCGUCCGAAAAUACUUGUCAUCAAAAUGAAUAAAAAGGUAUCUAGAACUAAAAUACAUCUAGAUACAUCCCCUUUUGUUCAUUUUGGUGACAAGUAUUUCCGGACCGAGGGAGUAUGUC
rfam:Triticum aestivum genome assembly, contig: Triticum_aestivum_CS42_TGACv1_scaffold_130481_2BL